rnacentral:rRNA from 1 species
GGACUACACGGGUAUCUAAUCCUGUUUGAUCCCCGCACUUUCGAGCCUCAGUGUCAGUUACAGUUUCGUUAGCUGCCUUCGCAAUCGGUGUUCUAUGACAUCUCUAUGUAUUUCACCACUACAUGUCAUAUUCCGCCAACGGCAACUGUACUCAAGUCCUACAGUAUCAAUGGCAAUUUCGCGGUUAAGCCGCGAGAUUUCACCACUGACUUAUAAGACCACCUACGCUCCCUUUAAACCCAAUGAAUCCGGAUAACGCUUGCAUCCUUCGUCUUACCGCGGCUGCUGGCAC